UACGAACGGAGCAGGUGUUAUUCAGAUUAACUGGGCGUAAAGGGCACGUAGGCGGCUCGGCAAAUCGGUCGUGGAAUCCCGACGCUUACCGUCGGAACGGCGGCCGAAAAUACCGGGCUCGAGGGCGUGAGGGGUCACUGGAACUCCUGGUGAAGCGGUGAAAUGCGUAGAUAUCAGGAGGAACGCCGGAGGCGAAAGCGAGUGACUGGCGCGUUCCUGACGCUGAGGUGCGAAAGCUAGGGGAGCAAACAGG
rnacentral:rRNA from 1 species